rnacentral:lncRNA from 1 species
GGUUUUAUAGAAUUUUUCAACUUAGCUUUUUGGUCAUUUUUCCACCUACUUACCUCCUAAAAUAUAUGAUCUGUGACUAUGAUGGUGCUUGGGAGUUUGGAAGCAUGUCAUGUGAUGUCUUAAAACUUGUGUGGAUGACUCCCAACCUACUUGUGAGCUAGUUGACCAAAUUUGUAGCUUAAUUUUGCCCUAAUCCUCGUUAAUUUUGAUUAGGGUUUUGGUUUUUAUGAUUAGGGUUACUUAAUGAUUUUUAUUAGUACCUAAUUGAAGUUUAGUAAUCAUGAUUAGGUGUUAGGAUAACCUAAUUAGGAUUUAGUCUAGCUAAUUAGGGUUAGGGUUUACAAAUUAGGUUUACGAUUUGUAAUCUAGGGUUAGGGUUUGUAAUCUAGGGUUCCUAACUUAGAUUUUUUCACAAAUCCUAACAAGCACGACAAAGCAUUUUGUCAGUGUAACCAUGACAAAGCAGCUUGUCAAAACAAAUAUACCGAAAAGUCUGUUUUUGGAUGAAAAAUUUUAAGCACGAGGUGUCAAGCACGUCAAUUUUCGGACAAAAAAUUAUUUGACCUAAUUUGUUAAAUAGAGUAUAUAUUAAAACAAAACACUUUCAGAAUGCAGAGAUUUUAUUAAUAUAACUGAAUUUACGUAUCCGAGUCUUAUUAGGGUUUUUGGGUUUCUACACUCAAGCCCCAACCUUCGAUCGAAUCACACAUCCCAACCCCAAGUGAAUCAAGUUAGGGUUCUUCACUAAAGGUAAUUGGGAUUUCAUUCCAUAAGAAACGGAUUUUGAUUAAGUUAUGUUUUGUUGGGCAUUCCUUGGCAUCCUACUUGGGCAAUCAUCUGGCUGCAAUCUGGGUCUUCCAAUUGGUCAUUGGUUGGGGCUUGCUCCUGCUUAGCUUGAUGGUACGCAUCAGUUGGGCUGAACUUGGUUUUGGCUUCCCUGUCUCCCCUUUUGGUUUCUUUGGUUUUGACUGGCUUGGACUUUGUUGUGGUAUUGAAAAUUUGACUAUAGCUCCUAAGCGUCAAAGACUUAGUAUGGGCGGUUCUUCCACUUCUUCGGCAAAAAAAUGGUACAAUGCCAAGUUCAUCAGCGAAGAGGCUUGGAAUAGGUACAAGCAUUCUUUCGCCAAAAGGAACUUAGUGCAUGAGCGAGGUUUUUGACCUGAUCAAUCGAAAGAUGGCGAGAUGAUGGCCAUGAUUAUUGAACGCAAAUGGGUGCACUUUACAAAAUCUCCUGUGUCGGUUGUUGUCUUUGUGGUCCGUGAGUUUUAUGCAAAUGCUAGUGCCGACGGUCCAGCCGUUAUUCAAG